UAGUGGACACUUCUCUUGACAGGAGGACGGUAACGGUCAUAUAGCCUAGUAACUUUGGUGUGAUAUCUAGGGAUGAAACGGUUACCGGACGAGAGGUGUGCAGCAUGCAAACCCAGUGAUGCUACUGGUCCCUUAUCUACAGUUGUGACACAGGCACUCAGCAAGAAUUUAAAAGGCAGGCUGCUUAUGCACCCACAUCAAAGAAAAUGCUCAAGACCUCACUGCAGCCCUUUCAUAUUACAUUGCAAAGGACAUGAUGCCAUUUCAAAUUGUUGAGGCCUGGCUUUCUGAGGCUGAACAUUAUUUUCCAAGACUGAAAUCCCAAACCUGUACAACUAGGCUAAAGCUGAUGUGCCUUGAGCCAAACUUUUCCCAACAUGGUUUGCUGCAACUACUGACCUCUGGACCAGUGAAAGCAGGGGGUGGUUCAACCAUAAUUCAGCUUCACUAUCUAUUACCUCACCCCAGACUGGAACAGGAAUCAAACUGCCUGGAAACACAGUUCUUCCCAGAAUAUCACUCAGCUCACAAACAUGAUCAAGGCUUUUGAAGAGUUCAAGGCCUGCCAUCAUCUGGUCCAAGGCUUCUUACGGAGCUGGAAGAGAAGGAGAUAACUGAGAGAAAAGCAAGCUGCCCUCAACAUGCCACAGAAAGCUCUGAUCCAUGAUGUGCUGACCUGAUGGAUCUACACACAAGAUGCUUGAGCGUUUCCUCAGCCAACAGCAGCCAGUCUGUGCGACACUGGCUGGAGAAAGAGGAACAUGGCAUCUGAUGCCCAAGGACGCUGACAUAAGUGUCAUGGAGCAACUGUGCCAGCUACUUGAACCUCUGAAGUUUACAGAUGAACUUGCCUCAGAGACACGAGUGACACUGUCAGCCAUCAAGCCUGUCCUGGACCACAUCACCCGUGAUGUUCUGGUGGAAAAGGAUACGGAGCCAUCCCUGACCAAUGAGAUAAAAAGGGUAAUGAGAGAAGACCUUAACAGAGAAGGCAAAGAGAGUCAUGCACAUGGCUUGUUACAUUGACGCCUACGUCAAAAGGAGCUUUUUAGAUGAGCCUGAGGCUGCAAAAGUUAACACUGACAGCUGUGUCCAGGAGGCCUUGAAGCUGGCAGCUGCACAAGUCAGGGAAGAACCACAAAGCACCAGCAGCACCUCCACCACCACCCCCACAGCGGUAUUGGAAAGGCUGGGUUGCUGAGAAAGAUUACCUCGCUGGCCAUGGCAGAACACUGACAUUCCUGUCUUGCAGGAUAUCACGCAUAGAACGAGCAGUAUGGCUGGUGGCAUUGCUGGAGGGUCAUGUCAGGAUGAGCCUGCAUGAAGGGUACCACAUGAGGGAGGAGGAUGUCUUCCCUGUAACGCACAGCGUUGAGAUUACCUGCAAUGACAACAAGCUCAGUCCGAUGAUGCUGUGACACACUGCCCCAGACCAUGACGGAUCCUCCACCUCCAAAUCAAUCGAACUCCAGAGUACAGGCCUCGGUGUAACGCUCAUUCCUUCAACGAUAAAUGCGAAUCCAACCAUCACCCCUGGUGAGGAAAAACCGUGACUCGUGAGUGAAGAGCACUUUUUGCCAGUCCUGUCUGGUCCAGCGACGGUGGGUUUGUUCCCAUAGGCGACGUUGUUGCCGGUGAUGUCUGGUGAGGACCUGCCUUACAACAGGCCUACAAGCCCUCAGUCCAGCCUCUCUCAGCCUAUUGCAGACAGUCUGAACACUGAUGGAGGGAUUGUGCGUUCCUGGUGUAACUCGGGCAGUUGUUGUUGCCAUCCUGUACCUGUCCCGCAGGCAGGUGUGAUGUUCAGAUGUACCGAUCCUGUGCAGGUGUUGUUACACGUGGUCUGCCACUGCGAGGACGAUCAGCUGUCCGUCCUGUCUCCCUGUAGCGCUGUCACCGUAGGUGUGUGUGUGUGUGUGUCCUGUGUAUCCAGUUUGUGUCCAGUGUGUGUAUGUCCGAUGUGUGUUUUCCACUCAAAUCAAAUCAAAUUUAUUUAUAUAGCCCUUCGUACAUCAGCUGAUAUCUCAAAGUGCUGUACAGAAACCCAGCCUAAAACCCCAAACAGCAAACAAUGCAGGUGUAAAAGCACGGUGGCUAGGAAAAACUCCCUAGAAAGGCCAAAACCUAGGAAGAAACCUAGAAAGGAACCAGGCUAUGUGGGGUGGCCAGUCCUCUUCUGGCUGUGCCGGGUAGAGAUUAUAACAGAACAUGACCAAGAUGUUCAAAUGUUCAUAAAUGACCAGCAUGGUCGAAUAAUAAUAAGGCAGAACAGUUGAAACUGGAGCAGCAGCACAGUCAGGUGGACUGGGGACAGCAAGGAGUCAUCAUGUCAGGUAGUCCUGGGGCACGGUCCUAGGGCUCAGGUCCUCCGAGAGAGAGAAAGAAAGAGAGAAUUAGAGAGAGCAUAUGUGGGGUGGCCAGUCCUCUUCUGGCUGUGCCGGGUGGAGAUUAUAACAGAACGUGGCCAAGAUGUUCAAAUGUUCAUAAAUGACCAGCAUGGUUGAAUAAUAGUAAGGCAGAACAGUUGAAACUGGAGCAGCAGCAUGGCUGCACAGCAUUCCACUGUGUCCUGUUUGUGUCCACACACACACUGGACACACCUCUACAUACUUGAGUUUCUCCAGUCUGCAGUGGGGAUUCCCCAGUCCAGCAGAAAGCAGUCUGACUCCUGAAUCUUUCAGGUCAUUGUUAUUCACAUCCAGCUCUCUCAGGUGUAAGCGAUUUUGACUUCAGAGCUGAGAUCAGAGAAGCACAGCCUUCCUCUGUUACUAGACAGCCUGCAAAGAGUAAAAUCAUAUUAAAACCACACUGACAGUGAAGAUAACAUUUGAAAUGUGACUCUGUACUCCAGCAUUUUGGAUUAAAGAUCAAAUGUUUCAUAUGAGGUGACAGUAGAUAAUGUCACCUUUUAUUUGAGGGCAUUUCCAUACAUAUCUGUUUCACCGUUUAGAAAUGAAAGCACUUCAUGUAUCUAGUCCCCCUAUUUGAAUAAGUCACACAUAUUCUGACAAAUUCACUUCUAGUGUAUUAAACCUGCACUAGGGAAAAUUUUACCUCUCAUAGCCACAUGGUUAAUGUUAUUAAUUUAAUGUUAAUGCACACAAAGUGCAUAGUGCUAAUAAUUUAAUUUGAUGGUUGUUGAUUUUCAAUAUUAAACUUGACUAAAUGA